CUCCCGAAACAGAGUGAUCUUCAAA
rnacentral:piRNA from 1 species